UUUUUGGCGCUACAGUUGCUGCUGGAGGAUGUGGUCCGGCUGCGGGGGUCCUCACGGCGCACCGAGGCGAGGCGCUCUGGUGACAAGUAGCGGCGGACACUGCUAAAAGAGAGCACACAGGUCUUGGAAGAGGCUGGGGGUCCCGGCCUUGUGCCUUACCUGCGCCCGGAGGUCGCCUCCUUCUUGGGAGAGGAUGGGGACGUGGCAUAGCCACCCACGCGCCGCGGGGGUCCCGAGCCAUUAAGGGGCGUCCUGGUGGGAAGGCCUUUCAAGAGCUGACACACUGGAGGGAUGGGGUUAGGGGACAGAAGAGGGUGAGUAUGAGGACCAGGCCCCGGUCCUCCCCAUCCCACCCCUCCAGUCUAACGGGGAUACCCGAGGCAGUGGUGCCUAAGCGCGGAGGCGCCCGGCCCUUGGGGGUGCCCCGCGCGCGUAGCGCCGCUCCCUGUUCUUCGCAUGCCCGCAGGCGACGCAGAGCAUCCGCCAGCGCCGCCUUUAGGACCGCCAGCUCGUCUUCCUGUAACUGCAGCCGCUGCUCCAGCGCCGACACGCGGUCGUCCACUUCCAUACCGCUCGUGCCCGACAAAUUGUCAUCUGGA
rnacentral:sRNA from 1 species